rnacentral:rRNA from 1 species
UACGUAGGGUGCAAGCGUUGUCCGGAAUUAUUGGGUCGUAAAGAGCUCGUAGGCGGUUGUCGCGUCUGCUGUGAAAUCCCGAGGCUCAACCUCGGGCUUGCAGUGGGUACGGGCAGACUAGAGUGCGGUAGGGGAGAUUGGAAUUCCUGGUGUAGCGGUGGAAUGCGCAGAUAUCAGGAGGAACACCGAUGGCGAAGGCAGAUCUCUGGCCGUAACUGACGCUGAGGAGCGAAAGCAUGGGAGCGAACAGG